UACGAAGGGGGCUAGCGUUGUUCGGAAUUACUGGGCGUAAAGCGUAUGCAGGCGGAUUGUUAAGUCAGUGGUGAAAUCCUGAGGCUCAACCUCAGAACUGCCUUUGAUACUGGCAAUCUUGAGUCCGGGAGAGGUUAGUGGAACUGCGAGUGUAGAGGUGAAAUUCGUAGAUAUUCGCAAGAACACCAGUGGCGAAGGCGGCUAACUGGCCCGGUACUGACGCUGAGAUACGAAAGCGUGGGGAGCAAACAGG
rnacentral:rRNA from 1 species